rnacentral:rRNA from 1 species
AUUGAACGCUGGCGGCAUGCUUUACACAUGCAAGUCGAACGGCAGCGCGGGCUUCGGCCUGGCGGCGAGUGGCGGACGGGCGCGUAAUGCAUUGAAACGUGCCCAGUCGUGGGGGAUAGCCCGGCGAAAGCCGGAUUAGUACCGCAUACGACCUGAGGGUGCAAGCGGGGGACCGAAAUGCCUAGCGCAAUUGUAGCGGCCGAUGUCGGAUUAGCUAGUUGGUGGGGUAAAGGCUUACCAAGGCGACGAUCCGUAGCUGGUCUGUGAGGAGGAGCAGCCACACUGGGACUGAGACACGGCCCAGACUCCUACGGGAGGCGGCAGUGGGGAGUUUUAGACUAUGGGAGCAACCCUGAUCCAGCCAUGCCGCGUGCGGGAAGAAGGCCCGCGGGUUGGAAACCGCUUUUGUUCGGGAGGAAAGCCUCUGUGCGAAUACCCCGAGGGGAUGACGGUACCAGAAGAAUAAGCACCGGCUAACUACGUG